rnacentral:rRNA from 1 species
AUUGGAGUCUGCAACCCGACUCCAUGAAGGCGGAGUCGCUAGUAAUCGCGGAUCAGCAACGCCGCGGUGAAUGCGUUCCCGGGCCUUGUACACACCGCCCGUCAAGUCAUGAAAGUGGGUAGCACCCGAAGCCGGUGGCCUAACCUUUUUGGAUGGAGCCGUCUAAGGUGAGGCUCGUGAUUGGGACUAAGUCGUAACAAGGUAGCCGUACCGGAAGGUGCGGCUGGAUCACCUCCUUU